GAUGAAGAACGUAGCGAAAUGCGAUACGUAAUGUGAAUUGCAGAAUUCAGUGAAUCAUCGAGUAUUUGAACGCACAUUGCGCCCCCUGGUAUUCCGGGGGGCAUGCCUGUCCGAGCGUCAUUGCUGCCCUCAAGCACGGCUUGUGUGUUGGGCCUCCGUCCUCCUCCCGGGGGACGGGCCCGAAAGGCAGCGGCGGCACCGCGUCCGGUCCUCGAGCGUAUGGGGCUUCGUCACCCGCUCUUGUAGGCCCGGCCGGCGCUUGCCGACACAUCAAUCUUUUUUCCAGGUUGACCUCGGAUCAGGUAGGGAUACCCGCUGAACUUAAGCAUAUCAAUAAGCGGAGGA
rnacentral:misc_RNA from 1 species